UUGGAGCCCGGUGAAAAUCCGGGUGGCUACUCCGGCCGCCGAUCCGCCGGACAACA
rnacentral:ncRNA from 1 species